rnacentral:rRNA from 1 species
GGGUCAGUAGGUUGGUCGUGCCACCGGUACGUACUGGUCUCACUGAUUCCUCCUUCCUGAAGAACCGUAAUGCCAUUAAUUUGGUGUUGCGGGGAAACAGGACUGUUACUUUGAAAAAAUUAGAGUGUUUAAAGCAAGCUAACGCUUGAAUACAUUAGCAUGGAAUAAUGAAAUAGGACGAUCGAUCCUAUUUUGUUGGUUUUUAGGAUUGACGUA